rnacentral:rRNA from 1 species
UAGGGAAUCUUCGGCAAUGGGGGGAACCCUGACCGAGCAACGCCGCGUGAGUGAAGAAGGUUUUCGGAUCGUAAAGCUCUGUUGUUAAGGAAGAACGAGUGUGAGAAUGGAAAGUUCAUGCUGUGACGGUACUUAACCAGAAAGGGACGGCUAACUACGUGCCAGCAGCCGCGGUAAUACGUAGGUCCCGAGCGUUGUCCGGAUUUAUUGGGCGUAAAGCGAGCGCAGGCGGUUAGAAAAGUCUGAAGUGAAAGGCAGUGGCUCAACCAUUGCAGGCUUUGGAAACUGUUUAACUUGAGUGCAGAAGGGGAGAGUGGAAUUCCAUGUGUAGCGGUGAAAUGCGUAGAUAUAUGGAGGAACACCGGUGGCGAAAGCGGCUCUCUGGUCUGUAACUGACGCUGAGGCUCGAAAGCGUGGGGAGCGAACAGG